rnacentral:rRNA from 1 species
GGUACCGACGGCACUCCGGCCGCGGUCAUACGUGAGGUGCAACCGUAGUCCGGAUGCGUUGGUCGUAAAGCGGGCUGAGGUGGCGCGUUAAGUGAGAUGUUAACUCGUGUGCCUAAACCAUAUCGAUGCGUCUCAACCUGGCUUGCUAGAGGACGGCAGAGGCAAGUGGAAGUGGUAGUGUAGCAGUGAAAUGCGUAGAUAUUACCAGGAACACCAAUGGCGAAGGCAGCUUGCUGGGCCACUCCUGACACUGAGGUACGAAAGCGUGGGGAGCGAACAGGAUUAGAUACCCCGGUAGUC